GUUUGAUCCUGGCUCAGGACGAACGCUGGCGGCGUGCUUAACACAUGCAAGUCAAGGAAAAGCGAGACUUCGGUUUCGUGGACACUGGCGCACGGGUGAGUAACGCGUAGGCAAUCUACCUUUAUCACUGACAUAACAGGCCUAACGGCCUGCUAAUGGCAGAUAGCACAAUCCGGUGGCAUCACUGAAUUGUGAAAGACUUCGGUUGGAUAAAGACGAGCCUGCGUCCCAUUAGGUAGUUGGCGGGGUAACGGCCCACCAAGCCUGCGAUGGGUAGCUGGUCUGAGAGGAUGAUCAGCCACAUUGGGACUGAGACACGGCCCAAACUCCUACGGGAGGCAGCAGUGAGGAAUAUUGCACAAUGGGGGAAACCCUGAUGCAGCAACGCCGCGUGUGGGAUGAAGGAGCUACGCUCUGUAAACCACUGUAGCUUGGGAAGAAACAGCUCUUAUGGAGCUUAGACUGUACCAAGAAAGUAAGGGACGGCUAACUACGUGCCAGCAGCCGCGGUAAUACGUAGGUCCCGAGCGUUGUCCGGAUUUACUGGGUGUAAAGGGUGCGCAGGCGGACAAGUAAGUUAGAGGUGAAAUCCCACGGCUCAACCGUGGAACUGCCUUUGAUACUGCUUGACUCGAAUACGGGAGAGGUCGGUGGAAUUCCAGGUGUAGCGGUGAAAUGCGUAGAUAUCUGGAAGAACACCAGUGGCGAAGGCGACCGACUGGCCCGUUAUUGACGCUCAUGCACGAAAGCGUGGGGAGCGAACAGGAUUAGAUACCCUGGUAGUCCACGCCCUAAACGAUGUACGCUUGGUGUCGGGGUUUUCGGACCUCGGUGCCGGAGGUAACCCAUUAAGCGUACCACCUGGGGAGUACGAUCGCAAGGUUGAAACUCAAAGGAAUUGACGGGGGCCCGCACAAGCGGUGGAUUAUGUGGUUUAAUUCGAUGCAACGCGAAGAACCUUACCUGGGCUCGAAAUGUAGGAAGUAGGACCCUGAAAGGGGAACCACCUGUCAAGUCAGGAACCUAUAUAGGUGCUGCAUGGCUGUCGUCAGCUCGUGCCGUGAGGUGUUGGGUUAAGUCCCGCAACGAGCGCAACCCCUGUCUCCAGUUGCCAGCAUGUAAUGAUGGGGACUCUGGAGAGACUGCCUACGCAAGUAGGAGGAAGGCGGGGACGACGUCAAGUCAUCAUGGUCCUUACGUCCAGGGCUACACACGUAAUACAAUGGUUGGUACAAUGAGCGAAGCCGCGAGGUGGAGGAAAUCUCAAAAGCCAAUCUCAGUUCGGAUGGGAGUCUGCAACUCGACUCCCUGAAGGUGGAAUCGCUAGUAAUCGUAGAUCAGCAAUGCUACGGUGAAUACGUUCCCGGGCCUUGUACACACCGCCCGUCAAGCCAUGGAAGUUGGGGGCGCCCGAAGUCGUUGAUGAAACGCCGAAGGCGAAACCAGUAACUGGGGCUAAGUCGAAACAAGGUA
rnacentral:rRNA from 1 species